UGGAGGCUGGGACUGAGCCCAAAAGAAUGAAGACUGCUUAGGAAGGCAGAGGAGAGUGUUAGGAGAAAGCCACAUUCCAUGCAAAGGUUUCCUAGGUGCAAAUGCAUAAAGCAUGCUGGGAAGCUGAGAGUAACUCAUCUGGCUAGAGAAGACUGCACUGAACACAUCUGAGGGAGAGAGGUGAUGAAAACACUGUUUAAAGAAAAUCAUUCCUUGUGGAUGCCAGAUGGAGUACAUUGGGAAACAACUGGAGUCCAGAGGAUUUCAAUGUGACAGACGCAUGAGCAACAGCAAGAGCAGAGCAAGGCUGAAGUCUAGCCGUGCUUCUAGCUAACUGUAUACCUUUCACAGCAUCUUCAUUUUCUUUAUUCAAUCAGUUGUUUUCCUGCCCCUCAAUGAUAAGCAGUUUGGGAUCUCUGCUAAAUUUCUUAGGAAAUCAUGUGCUCCUGUGCAUCUGCUGUGUUUGUGUCCUCUUCUCACUGUCGUUUCCAAAACAAGGUUUCAAUAUAGUGCUGGGAUAUUCCCUGUGAGCAACAGUGAAAACUGCCUGCAACUGAAUAAGAGUAAAGAAAAAAACAAGUGAAACAAAAAUCACAUCAAAAGCAAAUGAAGGGCCAGUCACAGUGGCUCACGCCUGUAAUCCCAACACUUUGGGAGACUGAUGCAGGCAGAUCACUUGAGGUCAAGAGUUUGAGACCAGCCUGGCCAAGAUGGCAAAAACCCAUCUUUACCAAAAAUACAAAAAUUAGCCAGGCCUGGUGGCACAUGCCUGUAGUUCCAGCAACUCCGGAGCCUAAGGCAAGAGAAUCGCUUGAACCCAGCAGGUGGAGGUUGCAGUGAGCCAAAAUUGCUCCACUGCAUUCCAGCCUGGGUGACAGAGUGAGACUCUGUCUCGAAAAAAGAAAAAAAAAAGCAAAUGAAGAAAGGAAGAAAAAAAAUUGGACUCUAUUGGACUCUAUUUACAGAUGGGAUGAGUAUUUAUAUAGGAAAUUCCAAGGAAUCUGUGCAAUAACUACUAAAAUCAAUAUGAA
rnacentral:lncRNA from 1 species